rnacentral:rRNA from 1 species
ACUCAAAUGAAUAGACGGGGGCCCGCACAAGCGGCGGAGCAUGUGGAUUAAUUCGAUGCAACGCGAAGAACCUUACCUGGGUUUGACAUGCACAGGACGCAUCCAGAGAUGGGUGUUCCCUUGUGGCCUGUGUGCAGGUGGUGCAUGGCUGUCGUCAGCUCGUGUCGUGAGAUGUUGGGUUAAGUCCCGCAACGAGCGCAACCCUUGUCUCAUGUUGCCAGCGGUUCGGCCGGGGACUCGUGAGAGACUGCCGGGGUCAACUCGGAGGAAGGUGGGGAUGACGUCAAGUCAUCAUGCCCCUUAUGUCCAGGGCUUCACACAUGCUACAAUGGCCGGUACAAAGGGCUGCGAUGCCGUGAGGUUAAGCGAAUCCUUGGUAAAGCCGGUCUCAGUUCGGAUCGGGGUCUGCAACUCGACCCCGUGAAGUCGGAGUCGCUAGUAAUCGCAGAUCAGCAACGCUGCGGUGAAUACGUUCCCGGGCCUUGUACACACCGCCCGU